GAUGAACGCUGGCGGCGUGCCUAAUACAUGCAAGUCGAGCGAACAGACGAGGAGCUUGCUCCUCUGACGUUAGCGGCGGACGGGUGAGUAACACGUGGAUAACCUACCUAUAAGACUGGGAUAACUUCGGGAAACCGGAGCUAAUACCGGAUAAUAUAUUGAACCGCAUGGUUCAAUAGUGAAAGACGGUUUUGCUGUCACUUAUAGAUGGAUCCGCGCCGCAUUAGCUAGUUGGUAAGGUAACAGCUUACCAAGGCAACGAUGCGUAGCCGACCGGAGAGGGUGAUCGGCAACACUGGAACGGAGACACGGUCCAGACUCCUACGGGAGGCAGCAGUAGGGAAUCUUCCGCAAUGGGCGAAAGCCUGACGGAGCAACGCCGCGUGAGUGAUGAAGGUCUUCGGAUCGUAAAACUCUGUUAUUAGGGAAGAACAAAUGUGUAAGUAACUAUGCACGUCUUGACGGUACCUAAUCAGAAAGCCACGGCUAACUACGUG
rnacentral:rRNA from 1 species